AUUAGGGGGGUGUUUGUUUCAUGGGAUUGGAUGGGAUUGGACUGUCUUAUUUAUUAGAGUAAGAGUUAUCCCAUGUUUGGCUUAAACAAGGACUCACUUAAAUGAGACUAUGCAAUCCCCGAGUCUACCUCCGCACCUUCUUACAUAGUCUCCCCAAAUUUCACCGGACUGUGGAAGCAGGUCUUAUGCAACGCUAAAGUCUCGUUCUUCGCUUCAGCCUCAUCGUUCUCACUCACUCGUUUCCUUCGCUUCAGUCUUCUCCGGCUGCUCUUUUUCAGGAAGGAAACUACUCGGUAUUGGAGAAGUUCUAUGUACAUCGGCAAGGAUACAAGAACAGAUUUUCAAAAUCCAGGACCAGUCCACGACAAGCUGCUUCCCUGCAUUGUUCUUUCAGGCAUUUCUCUGCCCUUUGGAUUCCUAACAAGUACAAAAUGCUCCUAGCCACUUUUUGAUAAUAUAAAUUCAGUCUUAUCUUUUGUUUCAUUUUGUAAUUUAUGUUUUUGAUAUGUGGAGUUAAUGAAAUUGGUUCUGUUUUCGGAUGUAUGUGGAGGCUUUGAAAUGUGCAUUGUGGCUUGCUGCUUUGGCACACUUCUGGAAUAAUGAAGGUAUUACUGAUCAUAUCAGAUGAGGGAGAUGACUGUCCCAUGACCAAGCUGCCAGAAAUCAACUUUGAGGCUCUGUUUUGGUGCAAAACUCCUAGAGAAAUGAAGCUUAUUUUUAGGCUCAUGUUGUUAUUAAGUUAGGAAACUUUCAUUAUGGAAGGG